UCGUGCCCACUGAGCUAUAUGGAAUCAAGGGACAAUCCAUGUACUUGGACUUUGCAGCAUCAUCCCUCACAAACCCUAAAUUCUUGCUGAAGCGUGAAAAUGGAGACAUCCUAGUGAAAGACAAUAAUGUGCCACCUUCGUUUUCCAAGAAAGUGCAUUACUUUUCUGGAAACUUCUCCAUCAGAAUAAACCAUCUCAAUGACAUUGAUAGUGGGACUUAUGACGGAUAUGACCAACAAGAGUGGAAAUUGAAUCAUCUCUUCUCCUACAAAGUGGUAAUCCUGGAUGCUGUAUCAAAACCCCAUAUAAAAGUACAGAAACCCCGCAAUGAUCCCCAUGGCAACAGCUCCGGGCAAAACUGCAGCUUUCUUGUAAACUGCUCAUCAUCCUCAUCCUGGAAGUCUUACAACUGCGACAGGGAGGAUUGCACAUUGCAAAGAUCGUCUCCAACCAAGCUGAACAUCACCCUCACGAAUGACAAUGGAUCCAUCAAAUGCAUCGUCAGCAACCAAGUUAGCACCAAAAGUGCAUCUCAUCAGCUUCCCCAGACCUUUAUGGUGGACAUCACCGAGAAACCGUCGAUGCACUCCCCACGUGACGAAGUAGUCAUCAUCAUUGCCAUCGCCAUUGCUGCUGGGCUGCUCCUUGUGUGUGUGUUCUCAUUGUGAUCAAAAGAUGUGCUGUAAAAUCUAAAGAAACACCUGAGAAGCAGAUGGAUAUACCGACUGUCAUCGUGACAGGAAGUGAUGCGGAUAACAGGGCCGGGCAGGAAG